AUGGUUUUGGGUACAGACGCUCUAACAGACACAAAAAGAGCAGGCAGGAUGUCUGUGACCAUUGCCAAGAAUGAUGGGGUCACUUUGACCUCUGACCCCCGAAGCACUUGUCCUCCACUGUGCCAAAUCCUCAAGGGCCUUUGCUACAGCCCUGUGUGCUGCUCUGUGUCUCAGCACUUGAGGAGGAUCCAGAGAACUUCUCAGUCAGUGCUGGGGGGUGAUAUAGUGACAGCUGGGAGCAGAGCAAGUAAAGAGGGAAAUCCCUUUAGUUUUAUAACCUACAGAAUGUUUACAUGCGACUAUAUAAGUGCCGGACUGGAGGAAAGAGAGAAAUUUGGCCAGAAGAUGCAUCUGACACACUCACUUGUUUUUAUUUAAUAAAAUCCUUAAUCAAAGAAGAAGAGUGGCGGACCUUUUCUUUUCUUUUUCAGUCAUCCACAGACCAAUUUUUGGCAGUGGUGGAUAUACACCACACAGGGAAAACUUGUACUGUGUACGAUGAGUCCGUAGUGCCAUUUUAAACUGCAGUCUUAUGUUCAGCAUUUAUAAUCUUUUAUUUUGUUUAUAUUUACGACAU
rnacentral:lncRNA from 15 species